ensembl:snRNA U6 U6 spliceosomal RNA
UUGCUUCAGCAGCACAUAUACUAAAAUCGGAACAAUACAGAGAAGAUUAGCAUGGCCCCUGUGCAAGGAUGACACACAAAUUCAUGAAGCAUUCCAUAUUUAA